GAUGAACGCUGGCGGCGUGCCUAAUACAUGCAAGUCGAGCGAAGCGGGGACGGGUGAGUAACACGUGGAUAACCUCCUAUAAGACUGGGAUAACUUCGGGAAACCGGAGCUAAACCGGAUACUUAUAGAUGGAUCCGCGCUGCAUUAGCUAGUUGGUAAGGUAACGGCUUACCAAGGCAACGAUGCAUAGCCGACCUGGAAGGGUGAUCGGCCACACUGGAACUGAGACACGGUCCAGAAUCCUACGGGAGGCAGCAGUGGGGAAUAUUGGACAAUGGGCGCAAGCCUGAUCCAGCCAUACCGCGUGGGUGAAGAAGGCCUUCGGGUUGUAAAGCCCUUUUGUUGGGAAAGCGGUACCCAAAGAAUAAGCACCGGCUAACUUCGUGCCAGCAGCCGCGGUAAUAC
rnacentral:rRNA from 1 species